rnacentral:rRNA from 1 species
GAUGAACGCUGGCGGCAUGCCUAACACAUGCAAGUCGAACGAAAACACGCGUAGCUUUCUCCUCUAACGGUGGCGGGGGGCGGGUGAGUAAGACAUGUAUACCCUACUUAUAAGUCUGGGAGCACAACGUGAAACCGGAGCUAAUACGAGCUAAUAUAUUGAACCGCAGGGUUCAAUAGUUAAAGCGGGCUUUGCGGUCACUUAUAGAUGGAUCCGCGCCGCAUAAGCUAGUUGGUAAGGUAACGGCUUACCAAGUCAACGAUGCGUAGCCGGUCUGAGAGGAUGAUCAGCCACACUGGAACUGAGACACGGCCCAGACUCCUACGGGAGGCAGCAGUGGGGAAUAUUGGACAAUGGGCGCAAGCCUGAUCCAGCCAUGCCGCGUGAAGGAUGAAGGCCUUCGGGUUGUAAACUGCUUUUGUAGGGAAAGAAAAGCAGUCUUUUAAUACAGGAGCGUCAUGACGGUACCGAAAGAAUAAGCACCGGCUAACUACGUG